CUCUAUAUGUAAAAUUUUCAGCCUCUCUUUAAAUGUUGCGUUUUUUUUUUUUAAUUGUAUGUGAUUAAAGGCUGAAGGAAUAGGAGUGAAUCCUCUUCUGGUCAUCAUUCCAGCUACAAUAAGUGCCUCAUGUGCUUUCCUUUUGCCUGUUGCAAAUCCUCCCAAUGCCAUCGUUUUUUCCUAUGGUCACCUCACUGUUCCAGACAUGGUA